CAGGAGCCCCUGAGACAAUAGGCCUCUAGAGCUGAAUAUGAAAAGUCAGAAAUGCUACUGCUUUUCCAAGAAUAUUAUAUCAUUCUUAAAGUGUUGCCAACUGACUGGCAAGUCAAUCUUAAGAGCGACCAGGAAGAUGUCCAUUGAAAUAGUCAUACACGAAAUGCCAAAGAUGCACCACGUAGAAUUUUCACUUUCUACUGACUGAAAGGCUUGUUUUACCUCAUUAGUUCUAGAAUAUUUAAGAAUCUAAAAAUAAAGGGCAACUCUGAUUUAACCUCUGCUUGAGUCAUUAUCUUAAGUAGCAUUUCGGGCUUUUACUAAAAAACAGAAGUAAAAUGAAAAGGUACACAAAGGUGUCCCGUGUCUGCCUGUGCUGAUUCAUGAAACUCGAUUACACCGAGGCCCUGUGGGAGCGUCCUCCUAACAGACGGAAGUUCAACGGGGCGGCCGGAUGGAAGCAGUCCUGAGAAGCAGGUGGGCUGGGCUCUCCACCGCCGUUUCUGAGGCACAGCUGUGGUCUCCUGCAACCUAGAGCUAAGAGGCAGAAACGCUGUCCCUACAGGAGGUGGGCCCACGAGGGCAGCAGGGCCGUCACGCCAGCACCCAUGUCUACUCUGGCAAGAGUCAUCAGAGAAUUCCAAAUUAGGUCCCAGCAAGGACCGUGGCUUGGACUGGACGAGAAACUGGCUAUCAGAUUUUUCAAACCCCCACCUUGGUGGUUUUAACAUGCAGCUAGGAUUGCAAUCAAGAGGCCGAGUAGGUAAGAUUCAUGUGUUCUCUUUUACUUUCUAAGGAGAGCAGGAGCCUGGGGUCAAGGCCCAGGGUCCUGGCCUGCUGCUGUGGUUGGAAACUGACACAUGGCAAUAAACAUGGCAUUCCCCUUGGCCUGUGUAAACUA